rnacentral:rRNA from 1 species
UACGUAGGGUGCGAGCGUUUGUUCGGAUUUACUGGGGCGUAAAGGGCGCGUAGGCGGCAAUUCAAGUCAGUUGUGAAAUCUCCGAGCUUAACUCGGAACGGUCAACUGAUACUGUUUUGCUAGAGUACAGAAGGGGCAAUCGGAAUUCUUGGAUGUAGCGGUGAAAUGACGUAGAUAUCAAAGAGGGAAUCACCUGGAGGUGAAGACGGGUUGCUGGGCUGAUACUGACGCUGAGGCGACGAAAGCUAGGGUAGCAAACGGG